AAAAAAAUCUAUAUGAGAAAAUUUUAUAUAUAAAUAAAUUUUUAUGAUUUAAAAAAAUUUAAUUUAAAUUUAUUUUACAUGUAAAUUUUAGUGUUAAUUUUUAAUUAUUUUAAUAAUAAUUAUUAAUAUUUGCAGUAAUUAAAAUUAAAAAUUUAAGAAAUUAAGAUUUAGAAAUAUUUUGAUUAUUAACAAAUUUUGUGCCAGCAGUUGCGGUUAUACAAAAAAUAAUUUAAAUUUUAUCGGUAUAUAAUAAAUAAGAAUUAUUAUUUAAAUUAAAUAUUAAAUUAUUAAGUGAAAUUUUAAUUUAAUUAAAAUUUAUAUUAAUUUUAUGGUUUAUUAAAUUUUAUAAAAAACUAGGAUUAGAUACCCUAUUAUUAAAAAUUAAAUUUAUAAUACUAAAAUAGUAGAUAAUAAUUUAUUGAAACUUAAAUAAUUUGGCGGUAUUUUAGUUCAUUUAGAGGAAUCUGUUUAAUAAUUGAUAAUCCACGAAUAAAUUUACUUAAUUUAUUAUUUUGUAUAUCGUUGUUAAAAAAAUAUUUUUUAAUAAAAAUAAUAUUUAAAAAUUUUUAUAUAAAAUUAAUUCAGAUCAAGAUGCAGAUUAUAAUUAAGAAUAUAAUGGAUUACAAUAAAUAAAUUUAAAUGAAUAAUAUUUUUUAAUAAAUAUUUGAAGGUGGAUUUAAAUGUAAUUUUAAUUAAUUUAUUAAAAUGAUUAUAUAUUAAAAUAUGUACAUAUUGCCCGUCGCUUUCAUUAAUAAAUUGGAAUAAGUCGUAACAAAGUAGAGGUACUGGAAAGUGUUUCUAGAAAGAA
rnacentral:ncRNA from 1 species